GACAAAUUUGCCGCAAUUACCAUGACGACAUAACAUGUGGGACCAAUCGGCUCGCCCAUAUAGCUGAGGCGAUGAGCAAUACUUAAUUAAUGGAAAAUUGUAAUGCAACUAGACCAGUUUGAUGUGUAACAACUAACAUUCUAGCUUUAUAACGAAAAUACACACAAAUUCUCUACCUAAAAUCAAUUUGAAAUACAAGAGCAAAGUACUACAUUUUGUCAUA